rnacentral:rRNA from 3 species
UGGGGAAUAUUGCACAAUGGAGGGAACUCUGAUGCAGCGACGCCGCGUGAACGAAGAAGGCUUUCGAGUCGUAAAGUUCUUUUAUAUGGGAAGAUAAUGACGGUACCAUAAGAAAAAGCCCCGGCUAACUACGUGCCAGCAGCCGCGGUAAUACGUAGGGGGCUAGCGUUGUCCGGAAUCACUGGGCGUAAAGGGUUCGCAGGCGGAAAUGCAAGUCAGGUGUAAAAGGCAGUAGCUUAACUACUGUAAGCAUUUGAAACUGCAUAUCUUGAGAAGAGUAGAGGUAAGUGGGAUUUUUAGUGUAGCGGUGAAAUGCGUAGAUAUUAAAAAGAAUACCGGUGGCGAAGGCGACUUACUGGGCUCAUUCUGACGCUGAGGAACGAAAGCGUGGGUAGCAAACAGG